GAGCAUCAGUAUUUGUGGGUUCGAUUACAAGCUCAAAAUGAACCAUAUAAACAGAACACAAUGGAUGAACACUUAUAUUGUUGCUCACGGUCCUCCCUGCAAUUUGAUCAGCUGCCCGUCUGCCUUAGCUGCCUGAGCUGCCCGCCUGUCUGAACUGCUUGCCUGAGCUGCCCG